rnacentral:rRNA from 1 species
AUUGAACGCUGGCGGCAGGCCUAACACAUGCAAGUCGAGCGAGCGGCGGACGGGUGAGUAAUGUCUGGGAAACUGCCUGAUGGAGGGGGAUAACUACUGGAAACGGUAGCUAAUACCGCAUACCAUCAGAUGUGCCCAGAUGGGAUUAGCUCGUGGGUGGGGUAACGGCUCACCUAGGGGACGAUCCCUAGCUGGUCUGAGAGGAUGACCAGCCACACGGGAACGGAGACACGGUCCAGAUUCCUACGGGGGGCAGCGGUGGGGAAUAUGUCACAAGGGGCGCAAGCCUGAUGCAGCCAUGCCGGGUGUGGGAAGAAGGCCUUCGGGUUGUAAAGCACUUUCAGCGGGGAGGCGUUACCCGCAGAAGAAGCACCGGCUAACUCCGUGCCAGCAGCCGCGGUAAUC